AGGGGAGAGUUGUAAGCAUGAUAUUUGUUAGCUUGCUGCGGGCAGUCCUGGUCUCCACGUGUCUGGGAUCCAGUGUGGCCCAGAUGGUCACUCAGCCUCAACCAGAAGUGUCUGUGCAAGAGGCAGACACAGUGACCCUGGACUGUACGUAUAGCACUAGUGAGAGUGGUUAUUAUUUGUUGUGGUACAAACAGCCUCCCAGCGGGGAGAUGAUUUUCAUUAUUCUCCAAGAAGCUUACAAGCAACAGAAUGCAACCAACAGUCGCUACUCUGUGAACUUCCAGAAAGAAGCCAAAUCCUUCAGCCUCAGGAUCUCAGACUCCCAGCUGGAGGAUGCUGCAAUGUAUUUCUGCGCUUACAGAGGUCCACAGUGAGACGAACAGCAGAGAGAGGCUUACAGAAACCUCA